rnacentral:tRNA from 1 species
GGGGCGAUAACUCAGCUGGGAGAGUGCCACCGUCACAUGGUGGAAGUCGCAGGUUCAAGUCCUGUUCGUCCUACCA